rnacentral:lncRNA from 1 species
AUGACAGGAGGUCACUGGCCGGGGAAGGGACUGGCUCCGGCCGCUCCAACCGCGGCCCCGCCGAGGCCGCAGGCCCGGCCACCGCUGCCCAGACGCGCCCUUCUCCGGGCCGUACCAGCGGGAGUCCAGCUCCGGGACCGACUCCCCCGCCGCGACGCCAUGUCCCGGCCACCGGCACCGCCUCGGGCACCGGGCGAGCACCGAGCGGCCUCCAAACGGGCACCGAGCGGGCACCCGGCGGGCACCGAGCGGCCUCCGGGGCACCGCCCCCUGCUGGGGCUCCGCGGAACCGCUCCGCCGGGCGGGGCGCGCCGCGCGCAUGCGCAGCCCCCGGCACGCAUGCGCCAUGGACACACAGGAACGCACCGGGGCGCCGAGACAGCCGGGACACCGAGGACCCUGGGGCUGCGGGACACCGGGGACACCGGGGACGUGGGACACUGGGCGACUAGGGACACCAGGGUGCCGGGACACUGGGAUCCAGGACACCGCGUGGCAGCGGGAUACCCGGACACAGCGGGAUACUGGGGCGCCGGGACUCCGGGAUACCCGGACACCAGGGACACUGGGGACAUUGGAACACCGGGGCUCCGGGGACAGCAGGGACACCAGGAUCCUGGGCGACUAGGAACACCAGGGCGCCGGGAUACAGGGACCUACCCUGCAGUAACACCUCCCCCUGGCCGGCGCCCCUGCCCCAACACCCCUCAGCCAGCACACUGCUCCUGUGGUUUAUUAUCCAUUGUGGCCGCUUACAGCCCUCGCGUCCCGGCCACCGGCUCGGUCCCCCGCCGGGGUCCCCCUCGGUGGGCGCCGGGCAGCGCCCAGCACCCGCUGCAGCUGCCAGAGCAGGUCGGGCAGCAGCGAGUCCAGCACGGCCAGGCCGGCCCAGGUGCACCGCAGGCCACUGGGGAAGAGGUGGUAGUGAGCCCCGGUGCCCCGGGGAGACCCCCGGUCCUGCCCACGGUUCCUCGGGGCUCACCCGCUGUCCAGGACGAGCCAGCCCUGCUGCUGCAGUGCCCGAGCCUCCCCCGGCGCCCCGAACACGGCCUGCAGGCUGAGCUGGGGGGAGAAGUGCCCCCAGCGCUGUGUGCCCAGGGCGAGAGAAGGAUGUUAGUGAUGGGGCAUCAACAUCCCAGUGCCCAAAGGGCUGAAGAGGGGCUUUGGACAAGGGAGUGGAGUGACAGGAAAAGGGAGGAAUGGAUGGAAAGGGCAGAUUUGGAUUAG